GACGAACGCUGGCGGCGUGCCUAAUACAUGCAAGUAGAACGCACAGUUUAUACCGUAGCUUGCUACACCAUAGACUGUGAGUUGCGAACGGGUGAGUAACGCGUAGGUAACCUGCCUGGUAGCGGGGGAUAACUAUUGGAAACGAUAGCUAAUACCGCAUAAUAUUAAUUAUUGCAUGAUAAUUAAUUGAAAGGUGCAAUUGCACCACUACCAGAUGGACCUGCGUUGUAUUAGGUUGUAGGUGAGGUAACGGCGCACCUAGGCGACGAUACAUAGCCGACCUGAGAGGGUGAUCGGCCCCACUGGGACUGAGACACGGCCCAGACUCCUACGGGAGGCAGCAGUAGGGAAUCUUCGGCAAUGGACGAAAGUCUGACCGAGCAACGCCGCGUGAGUGAAGAAGGGUUUCGGAUCGUAAAGCUCUGUUGUAAGAGAAGAACGGGUGUGAGAGUGGAAAGUUCACACUGUGACGGUAUCUUACCAGAAAGGGACGGCUAACUACGUG
rnacentral:rRNA from 1 species